rnacentral:rRNA from 1 species
UACGUAGGUGGCAAGCGUUAUCCGGAAUUACUGGGCGUAAAGCGCACGCAGGCGGUUUCUUAAGUUUGACGUGAAAGCUCCUGGCUUAACUGGGAGAGGUCGUUGAAGACUGGGAAGCUUGAGGCAAUGAGAGGGAUGUAGAAUUCACGGUGUAGUGGUGGAAUGCGUAGAUAUCGUGAGGAAUACCAGUGGCGAAAGCGGCAUCCUGGCAUUAGCCUGACGCUCAUGUGCGAAAGCGUGGGGAGCGAACGGG